rnacentral:lncRNA from 1 species
CACCAGACAUCCCAACCGAGCUUCAACCGUCCAGCCUGAACUCUCCAACAAGUUGCGACAACAGACACCACUCCACUCUCUAUAAUAAACUCCAUGUGGGCCCACCACUCUCCGGCAAGUUGCGACAACGGACACUACUCCACUCUCUAUAACAAACUCCACAUGGGCCCACCACUCUCCGGCAAGUUGCGACAACGGAC